rnacentral:rRNA from 1 species
GAGUACGGCCGCAAGGUUAAAACUCAAAUGAAUUGACGGGGGCCCGCACAAGCGGUGGAGCAUGUGGUUUAAUUCGAUGCAACGCGAAGAACCUUACCUGGUCUUGACAUCCACAGAACUUUCCAGAGAUGGAUUGGUGCCUUCGGGAACUGUGAGACAGGUGCUGCAUGGCUGUCGUCAGCUCGUGUUGUGAAAUGUUGGGUUAAGUCCCGCAACGAGCGCAACCCUUAUCCUUUGUUGCCAGCGGUCCGGCCGGGAACUCAAAGGAGACUGCCAGUGAUAAACUGGAGGAAGGUGGGGAUGACGUCAAGUCAUCAUGGCCCUUACGACCAGGGCUACACACGUGCUACAAUGGCAUAUACAAAGAGAAGCGACCUCGCGAGAGCAAGCGGACCUCAUAAAGUAUGUCGUAGUCCGGAUUGGAGUCUGCAACUCGACUCCAUGAAGUCGGAAUCGCUAGUAAUCGUAGAUCAGAAUGCUACGGUGAAUACGUUCCCGGGCCUUGUACACACCGCCCGUCACACCAUGGGAGUGGGUUGCAAAAGAAGUAGGUAGCUUAACCUUCGGGAGGGCGCUUACCACUUUGUGAUUCAUGACUGGGGUGAAGUCGUAACAAGGUAACCGUAGGGGAACCUGCGGUUGGAUCACCUCCUUACCUUAAAGAA